rnacentral:hammerhead_ribozyme from 1 species
GCACUGCUGAGGAGUCCCAUAAUAGGACGUAAUGGUCGUCCAGUGC